UGGCACUCGGCUUCCUGGGCCUCGUCCAGCCUCAGCUGUGGGGCAGAGAAGGCCGAGCGGAGCCUCAGCACCGGGCCCAGGCCUUAGCUUGCCUCCACGCCCUCCUCCCCUCCCCCCAGACCGGGAGCUUUCCGAGGGCAGUUUGCCCCACAGAGGGGGGCAGAACUGACCCACUGGGAAUUCUCAUUUUGUAAUGAAGUGGUGGGGGAAGGGUUGAGAGGGGCCCGGCAGAGCCAUUCCACAGAGCCCUAAGAGGCGGAAAGGGAGCUGGUAUCAGAGUCCUAGAUUGGGGGCUUCUUGGACCUGGCAGGGCCUUUGCCUGCUGCUUUAGAGCUGAGGUCCGAGGCUGAACCCUGCCUUCAACUUGAGCAGUUGAGAGGGCUGGAGUCAAAAGCGUUCUUAAAAAUAAACUUUGGUCAAAUUGAAUUGAAGAAGAACUAAGACCACAGGAUUUUGAGCCGGAAGCAAAUCUAGCAAACCAUUGGUGAAACCCCUUAUUUUACAGACAGGGAAACUGAGGCCAGAGGCAGAAAAACAUCUCGUUCAAGUUCACACAAGGCAGAUGUGCCAGAGCCCGCGCUUCCACCCCACAGACCCAGCCGCUCUUCUACACCGCACUUCGGGGCAACUCUGAGCUACCUCCCCAGCGUCCGGUUCUUCCGCCAACGCAGGGGCCCAGGGACUUGGGUUCCUGGUGGGAAUUUUCCACUGGGGCUCCCUCAGCAUCCAGUCACAUGGGUUGUCACUUCCAAAGCUGAUAGUUGAACCUAUGGAUGCUAAUGAGAUUUUCCGCAGCCAGUACCUCUUCUCAUUCGAUGUUCCCACUGUAACCAAGAGAAACAUCUGAGCAAAAUCAACUGCCCCAACAACCCGAUUGGACAACAUAUGCUACAUUCUGAAUCCAUAUUCCCUUUACCACUUUACUUGAUAGCUUUAAAAGAAAGCUAACAAGGACCAAGACUGAGCAUUACAAUUCAUUAAAAUUCAACCGUCAAUUAUGGUUGUUUUAAUUUAUGGCAUUGUAAUCAUUGGGGAAACCAUUCUUCUUCUUAGUCUGCCCUUCAGGAUACUUAUAUUUUUAGCAAAGCAAUUUGAUUAACUCUCAUCCUAUUUUUGUGAAGAAGAUGGAGAGAUGUGGGGCAGGUGAUAAUAUAAUUAGAUUUAGAAAUGAUUGAAUGGCUGGAUCCAAAGAGUAGUUAUUUGUGGUUCUAUGAAAACAUGGUAAAAGGUCUUCAAUAGAGUGCUCCAAGUUUCUGAGCUUGGUCCUGUAUUAUUUAGCAUUAUAUAGAUAUAUUAUAUACUUUCACAUUUUUAGACAAUGCCCAAAUGUUUUCAGAAAGUUAACAUAGUGAAUGACAAAAUCAGGAUCCAGGAGGAUAUUGUCAGGCUUGAAUAUU